rnacentral:rRNA from 1 species
AUACGGAGGGUGCAAGCGUUACUCGGAAUCACUGGGCGUAAAGCGCGCGCAGGCGGGCUGAUAAGUUGGAUGUGAAAGCCUACGGCUCAACCGUAGAACUGCAUCCAAAACUGUCAGUCUAGAGUCUGGGAGGGGAAGAUGGAAUUAGUUGUGUAGGGGUAAAAUCCGUAGAGAUAACUAGGAAUACCAAAAGCGAAGGCGAUCUUCUGGAACAGAACUGACGCUGAGGCGCGAAAGCGUGGGGAGCAAACAGGAUUAGAAACCCUAGUAGUCC